GAGACAGACAGACAGAUUGAUUUGGGUUCGGUUAGUUUUCUUUGUAUAUAUGUGUGUGUGGGGGUGGGGGGGGGGGACGGUGCUGGUGAUGAUGAUGGUGGUGGAGGUAUUAAUUCCUCGGUUGUUGUUGUUGUUGUUGUUGUUGUUGUUGUUGUUGUUGUUGUUGUUGUUGUUGUUAUUUUCUUUCUCAACUUACUAGCAAAAGAGAUGAGAGCAUAAAGAUAUUGGGUAACUCUUCCAUUAUGUAGAUAGGAAGAAAAAAAAAAGUGAUGAUGGUGGUGAUGGUGAUGAAGGUGAUGGUGGUGAUGAAGGUGAUGGUGAUGGAGGUGGUGGUGAUGAAGGUGAUGGUGGUGAUGAAGGUGAUGGUGAUGAAGGUGGUGGUGAUGAAGGUGGUGGUGGUGAUGAUGGUGUUGACGCAAUAUAUCACCCAGGAUGUGUACCCUUCAUUAUCUCAACUCCAUCCGGUGAAGAAACGCUCUCUCUCUCUCUCUCUCUCUCUCUCUCUCUCUCUCUCUCUCUCUCUCUCUCUCUCUCUCUCUCUCUCUCUCUCUCUCUCUCUCUCUCUC